AGUCAUCCGAACUUGAUUUUUUAUAUUUUGCUUCCUGAUCUAAAGAGAAGAAAAUCGUGGCUUUAUGCUUUAUAUAGAAUUGAUUCAUCUUGCAAAAACAAACUUUGGUCGCAAAACAUGUCUAAGUAUGCUCAAAACAUUUUGUAUCUGAAUAUUAUGUACAAAAAAGUCAUUGCAAUAAAUCUCAAGUUAUUAAAGUCAGUGAACAAAUAAGUACUGACAAUUCUUUGACUGGAGUGGAAGAUGUUAGUGUCUUGAACCAACAUGAAACAACAAGUGAACUUAGCUGAGAAUGAUGGUAGUUUAAAAAUAAUGCAGCAUUGGCUAGGAUUGUUCUUAGGUCACAAAAACAAUCUUACAAAGUAAGUUUCUUCUUUAUUAUUUAUUUAGUUAUAUUUUUAAUUAAAUUUUUAUUUUUCAUGUUAACAUGAUACAUAAGACAUUAAUUUGUAAAUGCUUUCAGCAUAAAUUGGUUCCAUUUUCUUUAGUAGAGUUUCUGCUGUUGUCACUGGUUUUAGAGAGUACCUUCGUGAAUGAAG